rnacentral:ribozyme from 1 species
CGCCCAGCAACUCUUAUCCCUACCUUCUCGUGGGAUUGGCCGGGGUACGAGUAACCUUAGGGAAGAUCAGGUAACCAACCCCGGUGGGAACGUUUGUCGUAUUCUGACAGGGUUUG